UACGUAGGGGGCAAGCGUUGUCCGGAAUCAUUGGGCGUAAAGAGCGCGUAGGCGGUCCGGUAAGUCCGCUCUGAAAGUCCGGGGCUCAACCCCGGGAGGCGGGCGGAUACUGUCGGGCUAGAGUCCGGAAGAGGCGAGUGGAAUUCCUGGUGUAGCGGUGAAAUGCGCAGAUAUCAGGAGGAACACCAAUGGCGAAGGCAGCUCGCUGGGACGGUACUGACGCUGAGGCGCGAAAGCCAGGGGAGCAAACGGG
rnacentral:rRNA from 1 species